CCUGCCUGGAGGCGAAUGCAGCUAAAAGGACUGGAAUAGCAGAAACUGUAUGUGUGUGGGAGAGAGAGACAGACAGACAGCUGCGUCUUCAAUGAAAGCCAAAGGAUUUUGAAGACCUCAAAUCCUUAACCAAAAAGUGUUACAGGGCCCCAAUAGGACAGUCAAAUUCCUCCCACUGGGCUGGACUGCAAUAUGGCCAAGGGUA
rnacentral:lncRNA from 1 species